rnacentral:rRNA from 1 species
AUUGAACGCUGGCGGCAGGCUUAACACAUGCAAGUCGAGCGGGGUGAUGGUGCUUGCACUAUCACUUAGCGGCGGACGGGUGAGUAAUGCUUAGGAAUCUGCCUAUUAGUGGGGGACAACAUCUCGAAAGGGAUGCUAAUACCGCAUACGUCCUACGGGAGAAAGCAGGGGAUCACUUGUGACCUUGCGCUAAUAGAUGAGCCUAAGUCGGAUUAGCUGGUUGGUGGGGUAAAGGCCUACCAAGGCGACGAUUUAUAGCUGUUCUGAGAGGAAGAACAGCCACACUGGGACUGAGACACGGCCCAGACUCCUACGGGAGGCAGAAGUGGGGAAUAUUGGACAAUGGGGGCAACCCUGAUCCAGCAAUACCGCGUGUGUGAAGAAGGCCUGAGGGUUGUAAAGCACUUUCGGCGAGGAGGAAGGGUAUAUGGUUAAUACCCAUAUAUUUUGACGUUACUCGAAGAAGAAGCACCGGCUAACUCUGUGCCAGCCGCCGCCGUAA